UACCAAAUACCAGUACAUGGAACACAUAACAGUUUAUGGAUCAAUGAAUUAUAAUUGUUCUCUCUUGGUUCCGCAAAUGCAAAGCGCUAAAUGAAAUCCAAUAUGAAUACCACUUAAUCUAAACAUAAACGAUCAAUAAAUAUUCUUGAAAUUGCAUUUUAACCCCUUCCUCGGAUCCUUCUGUUCUACUUCUCUCUGGCUUUCAGCGAAUCAGCCCUUUCAAUCCAAAAAGCGCUCCGGAUUCAUCGUAUUCAUACAGAAAUUAAUUUGUGUUUACCAAGUUCACAACGGGAGUGCUUGAUGGCACCAUAGGCGGCCCAAUGUUUAUUUUCUUAGUGCGCCCCAAACAACAGAUUUUAUGGAGAGACUCUCUUUUCUCUUUCAGGAAACUUGAGACUUUCCAACACAAGCACGAACAGUUUUUACUAAAAGGAAAGAAGUUCUCGAGGCCGAAAGCUUCGCUCUUCAAUUAGUCUUUCGGACGCCGCCGACGAGGAAAGCACAGAACAGGGCCCGGAGAGAACUCGGCGACGAGGAAGUGCUUUCGUCAUGGCAAAGAACCUGGAAGAUACUUUAAAUGAUUUGAACGGCGAACUAAUCAACUUUGACAAAGACCGGAAGACGUUUACAGCGCACUAUACCGAGCUGAGGAACGAGCUGAACCACUUAUGGCAUACAUACAAGAAUAUCUAUAUGAAAAUAUAUGAAGAUAAAUAUAUACAUAUGUAGAUAUGGAUCUGUAAUUAAAUUUUUGGCUAAGCUAAAAGCAACCUUAUCCUUAAAUCUAAAUCGAAGUCUACAUCUAAAUUUAAACCUUAAAAACCUUAAUCGUUGACUCGAAGCUAAAGCUAAAUCGAAAAGAAUAAUUAAAUUAAUGCUUGUUAACUUGUUUUACCGUAUUUAUUGUACACUAAUUACGUACUCGUACAACAAUUAUAAUUGUAAUUCGAAUAUAUAUA